rnacentral:rRNA from 1 species
AUUGAACGCUGGCGGCAGGCCUAACACAUGCAAGUCGAACGAGUGGCGGACGGGUGAGUAAUGUCUGGGAAACUGCACGAUGGAGGGGGAUAACUACUGGAAACGGUAGCUAAUACCGCAUACCAUCGGAGGUGCCCAGAUGGGCUUGGCUAGUAGGUGGGGUAACGGCUCACCUAGGCGACGAUCCCUAGCUGGUCUGAGAGGAUGACCAGCCACACGGGAACUGAGACACGGUCCAGACUCCUACGGGAGGCAGCAGUGGGGAAUAUUGCACAAUGGGCGCAAGCCUGAUGCAGCCAUGCCGCGUGUAUGAAGAAGGCCUUCGGGUUGUAAAGUACUUUCGGCGGGGAGGCGUUACCCGCAGAAUAAGCACCGGCUAACUCCGUGCCAGCAGCCGCGGUAAUAC